rnacentral:lncRNA from 1 species
CAACUUUAAAUUUUUCCGGCAGCUACAGUGUUUUUCCGGCAGCUACAGUGUUCCUAUUUUCCGGCAGCGCCAGUUUUCAGUCCUCUGUUUUAGUUUCAGCGAGUUUUCAGUUAAUAAUCCAACGAUAUCUUAGGGACUAGAUGCUUUCGGGCCUAGAAACCAGGGUUCUGGCAGUUCCGGUAUUAUGAUUACCUCAGAACCUUUAAUGGGAGGUUCAAACUACCUAGCUUGGGCUUCGUCUGNNN